rnacentral:rRNA from 1 species
UGCAAGUCGAGCGGAAACGACACUAACAAUCCUUCGGGUGCGUUAAUGGGCGUCGAGCGGCGGACGGGUGAGUAAUGCCUAGGAAAUUGCCUUGAUGUGGGGGAUAACCAUUGGAAACGAUGGCUAAUACCGCAUAAUGCCUACGGGCCAAAGAGGGGGACCUUCGGGCCUCUCGCGUCAAGAUAUGCCUAGGUGGGAUUAGCUAGUUGGUGAGGUAAUGGCUCACCAAGGCGACGAUCCCUAGCUGGUCUGAGAGGAUGAUCAGCCACACUGGAACUGAGACACGGUCCAGACUCCUACGGGAGGCAGCAGUGGGGAAUAUUGCACAAUGGGCGAAAGCCUGAUGCAGCCAUGCCGCGUGUAUGAAGAAGGCCUUCGGGUUGUAAAGUACUUUCAGUUGUGAGGAAGGGGGUAGCGUUAAUAGCGCUAUCUCUUGACGUUAGCAACAGAAGAAGCACCGGCUAACUCCGUGCCAGCAGCCGCGGUAAUACGGAGGGUGCGAGCGUUAAUCGGAAUUACUGGGCGUAAAGCGCAUGCAGGUGGUUCAUUAAGUCAGAUGUGAAAGCCCGGGGCUCAACCUCGGAACUGCAUUUGAAACUGGUGAACUAGAGUACUGUAGAGGGGGGUAGAAUUUCAGGUGUAGCGGUGAAAUGCGUAGAGAUCUGAAGGAAUACCAGUGGCGAAGGCGGCCCCCUGGACAGAUACUGACACUCAGAUGCGAAAGCGUGGGGAGCAAACAGGAU